AAACCAUGGUUUGGACAGCUCCUCAGUAAAUCCUUAAAAUGUUCCUAGCAUUCAUACAAAGUCUCAUUCUCUUGCUGAAGAAACUCUGCUAUGUCAUUCCUCAACUU
rfam:Ricinus communis cultivar Hale ctg_1100012350951, whole genome shotgun sequence.